UACGUAGGGGGCAAGCGUUGUCCGGAUUUAUUGGGCGUAAAGAGCGUGUAGGCGGCCACACAGGUCUGCUGUGAAAACUCGAGGCUCAACCUCGAGCUGUCGGUGGAAACCGUGUGGCUAGAGUCCGGAAGAGGAGAGUGGAAUUCCCGGUGUAGCGGUGGAAAAUGCGCAGAUAUCGGGAAGAACACCCGUGGCGAAGGCGGCUCUCUGGGACGGUACUGACGCUGAGACGCGGAAAAGCGUGGGGAGCGAACAGG
rnacentral:rRNA from 1 species